CUCCGGAGCACGCAACGACUGGGCCAGGACGGGGACUUCUGUGCAGAGGAGGAAGCCAUGGCCCCAGGAGGAGCUGGGGUUCCCUGGUGGCCCAUGGAUCCCAGCGAGGGCGGUCACUCUCAUCCUCACAGGCAACCCCCUUGCAGUGCCUCAGUUUCUCAGUCAAGAAAAGCCUCGCCAAGUGUGGGUCCGCAGCCUCUCCUUUCCCGGAACCCCGCCAGAGGAAAUGCGAGGGCAGGGGGAGGAGCUACGCAACGGGGGCGUGGCUGUGCGUCAGCGCCAGCGGGGGAGCCAAUGGGGCGCCCCUCGCAGGAAUACCCCGGCUGUUCUGUCGUCCGCAUUCCGGGCCAGCCCCCUCCACGCCCGCCGGGCCAACUGGGGAGUCCGAGGCCCAGAGCAGCGCCGGCGGACUCGCCAAGGCGCUAGCUGGGCAUGCGGAGGGGCCGCGCCCGCCGCCCGGGGUGGGGAACCUCCUACUCAGGAAUUUCCACUUCUUGAUGGACCACUUCAGUCCAACACAAACUUUGGACCCAGAGUGACUCAGUUUAAAACCUGCAUGUGCAUUUCUUACCUUGGAUCUUCCCGAUUAUCUGUGGCAAAGUGCAUGCAGGGUGAAGAACAGCACCGAGGAAAUGUAGAAUGGGAUUUCUGUCCUGCAAGGCCCAAACUGGAAGGUCUCACUCCACGGUCCCAACCAUCUGUAGCACGCCAGCCAACAAGAGAGGCUCCACUGCACUGAUACACAAAAUCUGUGAUGAGACACCACGCAAGAGGGUCACUCAAUCCCAGAAGGUGAGCAGUGAGCCUUGCGGCGCUGACCCAUCUCUCAGAGGCCUGAUGUGGUCCCAGGGUGAGUUCAGAAUGGCCUGUGGGAUUGGCAUCUGCAGCAAAGAGGCUACAGGGAGAAAAUGAGAGAUUCUGAUCCUUCCUGGUGUCUUACAAUGUCUUAGCAAAUGGCUGGUUCCUCAGGCCAAGAACUUUUGUGUUUCUCCUGUCCUGUCCUGUCCUUUUCUGCUUUGCUUCUCCACAGCAACCCGCCUAGGACUUGAAUCCCAGCUCUGUUCCCCACUUGCUGGGAUGUGUGACUUUAGCCAUGUCACCUAACUCUCCCAGUCUCUGUCCACCACUGUAAAUAAAGAUA